UACGUAGGGCGCAAGCGUUAUCCGGAAUUAUUGGGCGUAAAGAGCUCGUAGGCGGUUUGUCGCGUCUGCCGUGAAAGUCCGGGGCUUAACCCCGGAUCUGCGGUGGGUACGGGCAGACUAGAGUGCAGUAGGGGAGACUGGAAUUCCUGGUGUAGCGGUGAAAUGCGCAGAUAUCAGGAGGAACACCGAUGGCGAAGGCAGGUCUCUGGGCUGUAACUGACGCUGAGGAGCGAAAGCAUGGGGAGCGAACAGG
rnacentral:rRNA from 1 species